UCUUCUAGACCUGUGCAAUGUCUUUUAAGAGCAUCGCUUCAGGGUGGGAACACAGCAGAGCACUUUUAUUAGGUGUGUGCCGCAGUCAUCUGGAAGAGGGU
rnacentral:SRP_RNA from 1 species